rnacentral:rRNA from 1 species
CCUACGGGAGGCAGCAGUGGGGAAUAUUGCACAAUGGGCGAAAGCCUGAUGCAGCAACGCCGCGUGAGCGAUGAAGGCCUUCGGGUCGUAAAGCUCUGUCCUCAAGGAAGAAAAUGACGGUACGUGAGGAGGAAGCCCCGGCUAACUACGUGCCAGCAGCCGCGGUAAUACGUAGGGGGCUAGCUUUAUCCGGAAUUACUGGGCGUAAGGGGGGCGUAGGUGGUUUCUUAAGUCAGAGGUGAAAGGCUACGGCUCAACCGUAGUAAGCCUUUGAAACUGGGGAACUUGAGUGCAGGAGAGGAGAGUGGACUUCCUAGUGUAGCGGUGAAAUUCGUAGAUAUUAGGAGGAACACCAGUUGCGACGGCGGCUCUCUGGACUGUAACUGACACUGAGGCACGAAAGCGUGGGGAGCAAACAGGAUUAGAUACCCCAGUAGUC